GGGCAACGGUUCUCAGCCCAUAGUCAGCAAUGGAAAAGAGCUUGAUCAGUUCAUGACGCAUUAUGUUUUAUUACUUUGUUCUUUUAAAGAACAACUCCAGCAGCAUGUUCGUGUCCAUGCAAUGGAAGCAGUAUAUGCCUGCUGGGAAAUUGAGCAAUCUUUGCAAAGCUUGACAGGUGUUUCACCAGGUGAAGGUACGGGUGCUACAAUGUCUGAUGACGACGAAGACCAGAUAGAUAGCGAUGCUAAUUUGUUUGAUGGAAGUUUGGAGGGUCAUGACGCUAUGGGAUUUGGUCCCCUUAUCCCAACAGAGAGUGAGAGAUCCUUGAUGGAAAG
rnacentral:misc_RNA from 1 species